rfam:Oryctolagus cuniculus chromosome 12, whole genome shotgun sequence.
GGGGAUGUAGCUCAGUGGUAGAGCACAUGCUUUGCAUGCAUGGGGUCCCGGGUUCAAUUCCUGGCAUCUCCA